GUGGGGAAUUUUGGACAAUGGGCGCAAGCCUGAUCCAGCAAUGCCGCGUGCAGGAAGAAGGCCUUCGGGUUGUAAACUGCUUUUGUACGGAACGAAACGGUCCGGGUUAAUACCCUGGGCUAAUGACGGUACCGUAAGAAUAAGCACCGGCUAACUACGUGCCAGCAGCCGCGGUAAUACGUAGGGUGCAAGCGUUAAUCGGAAUUACUGGGCGUAAAGCGUGCGCAGGCGGUUUUGUAAGACAGGCGUGAAAUCCCCGGGCUCAACCUGGGAAUUGCGCUUGUGACUGCAAGGCUGGAGUGCGGCAGAGGGGGAUGGAAUUCCGCGUGUAGCAGUGAAAUGCGUAGAUAUGCGGAGGAACACCGAUGGCGAAGGCAAUCCCCUGGGCCUGCACUGACGCUCAUGCACAAAAGCGUGGGGAGCAAACAGGAUUAGAUACCCCUGUAGCC
rnacentral:rRNA from 1 species